UACGGGGGGAGCAAGCGUUGUUCGGAUUUACUGGGCGUAAAGGGCGCGUAGGCGGUCAGCACAAGUCAGUUGUGAAAUCUCCGAGCUUAACUCGGAACGGUCAACUGAUACUGUGCGACUAGAGUGCGGAAGGGGCAACUGGAAUUCUUGGUGUAGCGGUGAAAUGCGUAGAUAUCAAGAGGAACACCUGCGGCGAAGGCGGGUUGCUGGGCCGACACUGACGCUGAUGCGCGAAAGCUAGGGGAGCGAACGGG
rnacentral:rRNA from 1 species